rnacentral:rRNA from 1 species
GUCGAGGGGCAGCGGGGGCGUAGCAAUAUGCCUGCCGGCGACCGGCGCACGGGUGAGUAACACGUAUGUAACCUGCCCUAUGCAGGGGGAUAACCCGGAGAAAUCCGGCCUAAUACCGCGUAACACCUUUGGGGAGCAUUCCCUUGGGGUUAAAGGAGAGAUCCGGCAUAGGAUGGACAUGCGUCGCAUUAGGUAGACGGCGGGGUAACGGCCCACCGUGCCGACGGUGCGUAGGGGUUCUGAGAGGAAGGCCCCCCACACUGGUACUGAGACACGGACCAGACUCCUACGGGAGGCAGCAGUGAGGAAUAUUGGUCAAUGGCCGAGAGGUUGAACCAGCCAAGUCGCGUGAGGGAAGAAUGUCCUAAGGAUUGUAAACCUCUUUUGUCGGGGAGCAAAAAGGCUCUGCGGAGUCGUAUUGAGAGUACCCGAAGAAAAAGCAUCGGCUAACUCCGUGCCAGCAGCCGCGGUAAUACGGAGGAUGCGAGCGUUAUCCGGAUUUAUUGGGUUUAAAGGGUGCGCAGGCGGCGUGUCAAGCAAGCGGUAAAAUAGCGGGGCUCAACCCCGUCGAGCCGUUUGAACUGGUGCGCUUGAGUUCAGGCGAGGUAGGCGGAAUUCGUGGUGUAGCGGUGAAAUGCAUAGAUAUCACGAAAAACUCCGAUUGCGAAGGCAGUUUACCAGUUUGGGACUGACGUUCAGGCACGAAAGUGUGGGUAUCGAACAGGAUUAGAUACCCUGGUAGUCCACACAGUAAACGAUGAGCGCUAGGUGUCCGGGUCGCAUGAGACUUGGGUGCCCGAGCGAAAGCGUUAAGCGCUCCACCUGGGGAGUACGCCGGCAACGGUGAAGCUCAAAGGAAUUGACGGGGGCCCGCACAAGCGGAGGAACAUGUGGUUUAAUUCGAUGAUACGCGAGGAACCUUACCCGGGCUCAAACGACUCAGGAAUAUAUUGGAAACGAUGUAGCCAGCAAUGGUCUGAGUCGAGGUGCUGCAUGGUUGUCGUCAGCUCGUGCCGUGAGGUGUCGGCUUAAGUGCCAUAACGAGCGCAACCCCUACCGCCAGUUGCCAACGGGUAAAGCCGGGAACUCUGGCGGGACUGCCGGCGCAAGCUGCGAGGAAGGCGGGGAUGACGUCAAAUCGGCACGGCCCUUACGUCCGGGGCGACACACGUGUUACAAUGGCAGGUACAGCGGGAAGCCACCUGGUGACAGGGAGCGGAACCCGAAAGCCUGUCUCAGUUCGGAUUGGAGUCUGCAACUCGACUCCAUGAAGCUGGAUUCGCUAGUAA